AUAGAAAGAGAAGCUCAUUCUCACAAAAUGGUUCGAUUUUCUUCCAUUUUUCUAGUUCUGGUUCUUACCUUCUUAUUUUCCGUUGGUCAUGGGUACGGUGCAAGUAUUAAAACAAAAAAAUCGCCUUCAGUAGACUGUAGAAUAGAUAUUAAUGAUCCAUUGUGUGACAUUUGCAUCCGCUAUCCAGGAAUGUGUGACCAAUGGUAUUUGGAUUAAUUGAAAAAAAAAUGCAAAUUUAAAUUUUUUAAAAGCUACAGAUGGAAAAAUUUGGUACAGGUUAAAGUGUCAGUGGAAACAAAACGGUCCACACUCGUAGAACAAUAAAUCUUAGCUUAGUUGGAGUUAAA